CAGCCGCCGCGGUAAUACGUAGGUCCCGAGCGUUGUCCGGAUUUAUUGGGCGUAAAGCGAGCGCAGGCGGUUAGAUAAGUCUGAAGUUAAGGGCUGUGGCUUAACCAUAGUACGCUUUGGAAACUGUUUAACUUGAGUGCAAGAGGGGAGAGUGGAAUUCCAUGUGUAGCGGUGAAAUGCGUAGAUAUAUGGAGGAACACCGGUGGCGAAAGCGGCUCUCUGGCUUGUAACUGACGCUGAGGCUCGAAAGCGUGGGGAGCAAACAGGAUUAGAUACCCCGGUAGUCCCUGUCUCUUAUACA
rnacentral:rRNA from 1 species